UACGAGGGGGGCAAGCGUUGUUCGGAUUUAUUGGGCGUAAAGGGUGCGUAGGCGGUCUGGCAAGUCUUGUGUGAAAUCUUCGGGCUCAACCCGAAGUCUGCACAAGAAACUGCCGGGCUUGAGUAUGGGAGAGGUGAGUGGAAUUUCCGGUGUAGCGGUGAAAUGCGUAGAUAUCGGAAGGAACACCUGUGGCGAAAGCGGGACUCUGGGCCGAUACUGACGCUGAGGAGCGAAAGCGUGGGGAGCAAACAGG
rnacentral:rRNA from 1 species